CAGUAGCCACGGGAAUACGAAGGGGGCUAGCGUUGCUCGGAAUCACUGGGCGUAAAGGGUGCGUAGGCGGGUCUUUAAGUCAGGGGUGAAAUCCUGGAGCUCAACUCCAGAACUGCCUUUGAUACUGAAGAUCUUGAGUUCGGGAGAGGUGAGUGGAACUGCGAGUGUAGAGGUGAAAUUCGUAGAUAUUCGCAAGAACACCAGUGGCGAAGGCGGCUCACUGGCCCGAUACUGACGCUGAGGCACGAAAGCGUGGGGAGCAAACAGGAUUAGAUACCCCAGUAGUCCCUGUCUCUUAUAC
rnacentral:rRNA from 1 species